CAGCAGCCGCGGUAAUACGUAGGUGGCAAGCGUUGUCCGGAAUUAUUGGGCGUAAAGCGCGCGCAGGCGGAUAGGUCAGUCUGUCUUAAAAGUCCGGGGCUUAACCCCGUGAUGGGAUGGAAACUGCCAAUCUAGAGUAUCGGAGAGGAAAGUGGAAUUCCUAGUGUAGCGGUGAAAUGCGUGGAUAUUAGGAAGAACACCAGUGGCGAAGGCGACUUUCUGGACGAAAACUGACGCUGAGGCGCGAAAGCCAGGGGAGCGAACGGGAUUAGAUACCCGGUAGUCCCUGUCUCUUAUACAC
rnacentral:rRNA from 1 species